ACCAUACCAGCUUUAUAGCAGGUGAACUGCACCUUGAAAGACCUUGUCAGAGCUAAGGAGCCCAGUGAAGGACUAAGAGGUUAUGUCAGUGCUGCAAAAUCUUGUUUCCAGCAAACUGCAACUCUCAGCCAGCAAAUAGACACCACAGGGUGCUAUCAGGAAGAGAAUCAAGAACAUAGGGACUUUGUACACUGAUCAUCAUCAUCCAUGCUAAUUAUUGAAACCCAGAAAGAAAGUCAGUAAGUCAGAAAACCGCAAAAAAAAAGAACAAAUUAUCCCAUGCAUCCCAGGAGGAACAGCAGUGUAUCUUGGAAUUUAGAAUGAGCAAGAACCAAGAUCCAAUAUUUAGGGUGCGAAUAACUGCAAACAACAACUACAAAAAUAUAAAUCAGUUACAAUAGCCAAGCUAGAAAGAACAUUCUACAAAGUUACAAGUCUGGGCAUUUCCAUUCCAGAUAGCAGAAGUGUAAGACACUGUCAGUGCAUGCAUGAGGAUCAUUCAUGAGAACCAUCUAAAAUGUGUAACUGGAGGUUUGUUUCUCCUCUCUCUGGUGCAGGAGCAUUCACUCAUAUUGAAAUGUUCCUGCCCGGGGCUGCAGACUGUGGGAACUAAGAGCCACAUAUAAAUAAUUGAAAACAAGUUUGAUAAUCUGUCCUGACCACUUACAGGAGAGCAGUGUGAGAGCAGCCCUGGGAGGUGAUAUGCAACAAGUUUGCAAGAAAAAUGACAGUGCUUCUUGACUAGAACAAGGAAGCAAAGAGGUCCUGCAGACAGGCAGCUUUGGCCCCAGUAGGGGAGGAUGCAUCGGAGAGGACACGGUGAGGGCCCGGUGGCCGCAGGCGACCUGAGCCAUGCGGUGGCUGAGAGCUACGGAGUUUCUCUGCACCUAGACCCACACCCAGCCUCUGCAAUUUUCCCACUGAAUCUCGACUUGCAUAACCCAGCUCCACGCUUCCUCUGCUCUUGAAUUUUAUUUGUCUUGCAUACCGAGUGCAGCACUGUGGUACUGCCAUCUGGAGAGACAGCAUUAGCAAUGGCCACAGACCAGCCUUACUAAAAGCAGCUGAAAAGUGAAGAUAUUGGGCCACUGUGCAAAGGUCCGCAGGUGAUCAUGACACGGCCUGGCUAAGGGAAAGUCUUCAUCCUUCCUAUUGGGUCAAAAAGAGAGUCUGCUUCAGUGCUACACAGUUCCAGCUCAGCAGGGUGCUCAUCUUCCUGCCUAUUGACCUGGCCACUUUCUGACCAAGGAAAUUCAGCUUAAAAGGUCGUGCUCCUGUUCUAUGUAAGGCACAAUAAGGAUUGGAGAAUUCACUUUGAUGAUCUUCGGUAAUGGAUACUGUGAUUGGUCCCACAAUGACGUGUGACAUGGUCCUGGACAAUGCGGGGUGAGAGGAAGACAGCAGAAGGACCUCCAGAGCAGCUACCCUGUCCCGCCAUAGGAGAGGACACGGUGAGGGCCUGGUGGCCGCAGGUGACCGGAGCCAUGAGGAAGCUGAGAGCUACUGAGUUUCUCUGCACCUAGACCCACAUCCAGCCUCUGUAAUUGUCCCCCUGUAUCUUGACUUGCAUAACUCAAACUCCAGGCUUCCUCUGCUCUGAAUUUCAUUUGUCAUGCAUACCCAGUGCAGCACUGUGGCAACGCCACCGGGAGAGACAGUGUUAGCAAUGGCCACGGACCAGCCUUACUAAAAGCAGCUGAAAAGUGAAGACAUUGGGCCACUGUCAAAGGCGUGCAAGUGGUAAGUUCUGGCUGGACACAAUCCGAGUUCUCGUCCAUUCUCCUGGGUCCCUGGGGGUUUCUUGGGUGACCUGAAUGUUCGUGAGGGCUGACAAGGAAUUCCCAGGGUUACUUAUUUUAGAAUAUACAGAUGUCAUGUCAUGGUUAAGGGAAAGUCUUCAUCCUUCCUAUUGGGACACCAAGAGGAUCUGCUUGACUACAGUUCCAGCUCAGCAGGGCACUCGGCUUCUUGCCUAUUGGCGUGGCCACUUUCUAUAGCAGCUAACCAAUGUAUGGCAGAUAUCAAUUUAUAAAUUUAAUGGGUUUUGUCUAUAGUAAUAGCUACACAUAUGAUAGAUUAGAUGUACGGAUCUAAUCUACAGAAGAGGUAGCUCGAUGGAUGAAUAUAUAUAGUGUAUGCACAGACACAGCUACACAGAAGAUGAAAUAAAAAUUCUACUUUCAAUAUA